UACGAAGGGGGCUAGCGUUGUUCGGAAUCACUGGGCGUAAAGCGCACGCAGGCGGAUUGAUAAGUCGGGGGUGAAAUCCCGGGGCUCAACCUCGGAAUUGCCUUCGAUACUGUCUGUCUUGAGUCCGGGAGAGGUGAGUGGAAUUCCUAGUGUAGAGGUGAAAUUCGUAGAUAUUGGGAAGAACACCAGUGGCGAAGGCGGCUCACUGGCCCGCAACUGACGCUGAGGCGCGAAAGCGUGGGGAGCAAACAGG
rnacentral:rRNA from 1 species